rnacentral:lncRNA from 1 species
GAAGCCAUAGGAGGCAAAGUCCAUCAUAUUCCCCUAGAAGGCGAUAUCACUGUUAGUAUAACUCUCACUGGGCAUCUAAUCUUGUACAUGUUUAAACAUGGCAUGUAUCUUAUACUCUCAGUAUUUACAUACUAUACAUGUAAAUAACUGCUCUAUUAGCAUAUUAGAACAAAGAGCGGUAUAAAGAGCUCGAGACUAAUAUCUUAAAGUCAAAGCUUACAUUGUUGUCCAUGCGUCUGCAGAAGUUUCUAAUCGCAAAAUCAUCAUGGAUAAUCUUCAAAAUCCACGGAAUUAUGUUUGUUUAUGCCUUUCGGCUUAUAAGGCUUUGCCUUGCGUCGGAUAGCAAGCUGACUUUGGUAUGAUCAAUGUGUGAAAUGAUUCCACGACUAGAGAUCCUCUUUUAUUUUUUGUUUUAGCUUUUAAGAUUGAUUUCCUAA